rnacentral:rRNA from 1 species
UACGUAGGGUGCAAGCGUUAAUCGGAAUUACUGGGCGUAAAGCGCGCGUAGGCGGUUUUGCAAGUCGGGUGUGAAAUCCCCAGGCUUAACCUGGGAACUGCAUUCGAGACUGCAUUACUAGAGUAUGGGAGAGGGAAGUGGAAUUUCCGGUGUAGCGGUGAAAUGCGUAGAUAUCGGAAGGAACAUCAGUGGCGAAAGCGACUUCCUGGACCAAUACUGACGCUCAUGUGCGAAAGCGUGGGGAGCAAACAGG